rnacentral:rRNA from 1 species
AUAUCAAUAAGCGGAGGAAAAGAAACCAACAGGGAUUGCCCCAGUAACGGCGAGUGAAGCGGCAAGAGCUCAAAUUUGAAAUCUGGCCUCCUCCGGGGGUCCGAGUUGUAAUUUGCAGAGGAUGCUUCGGGUGCGGCCCCCGUCUAAGUUCCUUGGAACAGGACGUCAGAGAGGGUGAGAAUCCCGUCUUGGGCGGGCGGUCCGCGCCCGUGUGAAGCUCCUUCGACGAGUCGAGUUGUUUGGGAAUGCAGCUCUAAGCGGGUGGUAAAUUUCAUCUAAAGCUAAAUACUGGCCGGAGACCGAUAGCGCACAAGUAGAGUGAUCGAAAGGUUAAAAGCACCUUGAAAAGGGAGUUAAACAGCACGUGAAAUUGUUGAAAGGGAAGCGCUUGCGGCCAGACUCGGGGGCGGGGUUCAGCGGGCGCUCGUCGCCCGUGCACUCCCCGCGCCCCGGGCCAGCAUCAGUUUCGACGGUCGGUCAAAGGCCCCCGGAAUGUGUCGUCUCUAGGGACGUCUUAUAGCCGGGGGUGCAAUGCGGCCCGUCGGGACUGAGGAACGCGCUCCGGCUCGGAUGCUGGCGUAAUGGCCGUAAGCGGC